rnacentral:rRNA from 1 species
AUUGAACGCUGGCGGCAGGCCUAACACAUGCAAGUCGAGCGGUAGCACAGAGAGCUUGCUCUCGGGUGACGAGCGGCGGACGGGUGAGUAAUGUCUGGGAAACUGCCUGAUGGAGGGGGAUAACUACUGGAAACGGUAGCUAAUACCGCAUAACGUCGCAAGACCAAAGUGGGGGACCUUCGGGCCUCAUGCCAUCAGAUGUGCCCAGAUGGGAUUAGCUAGUAGGUGGGGUAACGGCUCACCUAGGCGACGAUCCCUAGCUGGUCUGAGAGGAUGACCAGCCACACUGGAGCUGAGACACGGUCCAGACUCCUACGGGAGGCAGCAGUGGGGAAUAUUGCACAGUGGGCGCAAGCCUGAUGCAGCCAUGCCGCGUGUGUGAAGAAGGCCUUCGGGUUGUAAAGCACUUUCAGCGGGGAGGAAGGCGGUGAGGUUAAUAACCUUGUCGAUUGACGUUACCCGCAGAAGAAGCACCGGCUAACUCCGUGCCAGCAGCCGCGGUAACAC